AUCAUCAUCAUUCAUAUACCAUUUUUGUUCUUAUGUUUGUUUUUUGUAUUUGAAUGGUUUUGUUUUCUUUAUGCUUUUUUUUGUAUUUGGGCUUGGUGUAUUGGCGUACAGGUAGCUAGGUGAUUGGUUUUCAGAUGAAUCAAUAUUGAUUUAAAACACGAAAUAACAAGGACAGAGCAGCUAUUGCUUAUGUAUACCUCAUUUACACUUAAGAUAUUCUCUUUGUGUCUGGGGCCGAAUAGUUUAAGCACUGUUAGACGUCAAUACAUACAGAACAAGCUACACAGCGACGGUCACCCAAAAAAGCGAUUGUUAUGAACAAGCAAGUCCACGUCCAAGACCCGGAAUGUCGGGUCGAUUGUCGGCCGGUUAAUUUACUUGCUUUGAUUCGCCAGUCCUUCGGUUUGUCAGGCCCUAGGUCAGGCUUCGGUUUGUAAAGAAAAAAAAAUCGAGUCGUGUUCGAUUUUUAGAAGUCGUGUCAAUAUAUGAAUAUCAUCAUCAAAAUCGGCCCGACAAAUCGGCGCAUGUGAAUUGUUAUCACAUUCAUCCCAUCCAGAAGGGUCGAAUAAAAUACCCAAAGGAAAGCUGUUGUGUGUGAUAGAUUAGAAGUGAGUGGUAUAAUUGACCAAUGAACUGUAUCCAGUCACAUGGCAUUGGCUGAAAUGUUUGAUCAUCCCUAAGUAUGUCAUUUUUUUUUUAAAGUUCUAUUUUUAUUAUACUCAAGGUCAAAUAUAGAGAAAUAAGUUCAUAAUCUCAGUCAUCCGCGCUGUAGAAUUCAUUACAGCCAUUCUUUUUAACCGGACAAAUUAUGUUUUGCAAGUUGCGCUACAUAGCGCGCGUUUCUGUCUAUCCUCCUUCGAUUUGAAAAAUAAAUACUUCCCACGCAAUGUUAAGUUAUUACUUGCGUACAAAAGAGUAUGGUAAACGAAAAAUUACCCGGAAACGUUAUACAAAACACUAUUUUUGUUAGCUUUGACAUUUUGCAAAUAAACAUAUUCGCAAGGUGGUUUUCCAUGAUAAUGUUGUUUAGAAAGAGACGAGAGCUAUCACGUGACACGGCUCGAGUUUGGGUACCCUGUGUUUGCGCCAUUGUUGUUUCCAGAAUUGUACCGUCAAGGUCAAUGCCAAUGUCAAGUUGAACACGAAAGCGCAUUUGUUGACUGUAAUCACCCCAGUUAUUGGAUAAUGGAGUUUUGCCAUGUCGUUUCGUAGAGUACUGUUAUCUGCCUCUACGCACAGAUUGGCAGCCUUGUCAUGGCGGACAGCCUCGGCACCGUUAUGUUACAAUUGUGAACUAAAUCCCUCAUUAAAGCGGACACCUCGCUUUAUUUUUUGCGCUUUGUUUAUAUACUAUUCAGCUGCUCUAUUUGCCACAGGAGUUAUGGCUUAUCCGCUCUUGUUUGACUCUGAUAAUGAAAUGAGGGCGCCAUUAUUCGCACUUUUCGUGAUCCUGAACCCAUUUUUCUACGGUUUUGAUUCACUGAUGAUUUUUAUCGCUAGUACUUGCUUGUCCCUGAGUCAUUCCAGACACUUGUUUGCCUUGGGGAUAUGUCCCUUGGUGAUACUACCACACGUUUGCCAGCUGUGUGCCUGUGUAAUGCGAACUGCCUUUGCUUUCAUGCGACUUGGCACUUUGGCUGCUAGGAUCGGUUCCCUAAAAUUCUACGACGUUCUUCACUUUUUCACUUCUUCUUGUCACUUCUUCCCAGAAUGCUCCUCGAGCCCUAGAACAGGCCCUACCCAUGUGUAGGAUUUCGUGAUCAAUUGUAAUUUCCGUUUUCUUGUUUUUCAAUAAAACGAUGAAUAAUAAAUACAUGAACUUCGGUGUUGAUAUAGAUGGUUCAAUUCAACGCACGAUAUCCUUAGUCUGUUUUGCCCUCCUCUUUCCCCCUUUUUUAUUGAUGUUCUUUUCUGUUUGAGGUCGUGGGGAGUGGAAGGGGAGAAUGGAACAGCACACCUAGUUGUCUCAUUUUGAAGAUUGUUUCCCUGCAUAAAGUCGCUACCUCCCCCCCCCUUCCACCCCGCUUGUUUAGUAGAACGCAUGCCGUAUCUACCUCACAUCAAAAUGUGCUUUAAUCCCACAAAGAAACCGAAAGAAUUAAACAUAGACGUUCGUGCAAUAAAUAUCUAAACAAAUUUACUUGGCUUACCUAGUAUUGGAAGAGUCAUCAGAAACCCGCUGAAGAUAUAUAACAAGCGCAUAGGAGUGGCCCAAUAACCGGCGUUAAUUGACUGCCGGUGUCUUAUUAUAGAACGACCCGAACACGAUAGGGCGCAAUAAUACUUUUGAGGCGUUCUGUUAGAAAGCUAGAGCGCGUUCGGUAAGCCAAACCGCGGUAUCGAAACCUUGACUAAAAGAAAAGUUAGUGCUAUACCCACGCUGCAUACGGUGAGAAAAUUAUAUUGAUUCUGCGCAUGCUAUUCAAUUAAAGGUGAUAAUUAACUCUACUCUGCGCAUGUCACUUAGUUUAUAGCCGCUGUAUUUGGCCACCUGCCGCGCUUUCCUAGUUUUCUAACUACAUUCUUUAGAUUAUCCCAAGACCAGGAACUAGGCAUCCGAGCUUGGUACUCCACUGUUAAACUCCAUCCAUUUUAUUCUUCUCCCACUACUGUCUCGAUACCGGUCAAUGAGUAAUGGACCCCCUACCAUCUCCGGAACCAUCAGUGCGCAUGCUCAGAGCCUUGACGCGAUUUCCAUAAUCUCUAUCUCCACAGGGUUGCCGAAUCCAGACCGUUAUGGCGUGUUGUGAGGAUCGAUCUCCUUUUUUUUUUCUCUUUCCGUCAACUGUUCGGCGGGUUGUAUUUUUCUAUAUGUGAUAAUUGAACAUGGAAGCCGAGGUUGUUAUUUUCAUUUAUUUAUUUUUAUUUUUACCCCAAUAUAGCGAUACCCGGCAUAGUAUGACAUCUUCUAACCCGACAGCAAUAAAAUAUAUGGGAAACAAUCUCAAUUUCACGAUUUUUUAAUGUGCCUUGCCAUAUCGUAAUAUCCAAGUUUCAAAUGCAUCGCUUUCUGAGUCUGCGCGAAUUAAGUAGCUUUGCAAGGUUUAAUACCAGCGCCGGAAAAAUGCAAGUCUCCGCCUAUUAGUUACCAUUGUUAGAGCAGGAAAGACAGGCUUUGCGGAACCUCGAUCAAUUUUUUUUGUCGCUUUCUCCGCUCGUCAAACGACAUCAUCUUCCCUUCCUCUUUUUCGCCACAUGCCCAUCCUACUCUCAGAAAUGGAGAGCUUGGGAUUGUGGAGAAAUCCAGGUAUAAUAAAGCGCGUCUAAAGUGAGCCGAUCUCGUGAUCUGUUCAGUAGCCAGUGGUGCUCACGCGUUGAGCUCGCUCCAUCGCAGCCUCUCCUCCAAUCAACGACUAGCAGAAUUGAUAAUUACGUAAGCAAAACACACGCAAUAAAAAUUGCUUAGCAUGUUCGACACAAGACAGGAUCACAAGCGCUACCAGGCGAGCAACAGUCAAUACUCCAGCGCGCGAAAAAAGGAGCCUUGAAGACCGAACUCUAACACGUGGCUUCUGCCUGCUUGAGACAUCGCUUGCUAUCGUGGUCAGUGACGAUUUUAUUCCUUAUCGAAGCCGAGGUUAAGGGUGCUUAAGUGUAAGUUCGAAGAGCUCGGGGAAGAAGCAAGCGUCGAGAUGUGCAAGCCGAAGUCGCCUGACGAGCGAGAACUGUCAACGGCGGGGCCUUCCGCCAGCGGCACAUCCACAACCGAACUCAACAACUCCCUCGUUGUAUCGCACGUUGCUGCCCAGCUAGCACAGAUAGGCGAUAAACUGCAGCUCAAAUAUGAGCAGAAUAAGAAAAAAGACGAGGCGCAGUUCACCAUGAGAGCAGUGUGUGUUAUAGCCCUGUUCGUGGUACUUAGGAUGACCUUAUGAGAUGAACGGUCGCACCAUGGACAUACCACAUAGCAUACGGAUGCGAAAAAACUAUACCUACAUACAACAUCAGCAGCGUGUGAAAACUAUCGCUUGCGAAACAAGAUCUUUAACACAGUAACAAGUUAUCUUCGUGCGAAACUUCUUGCAAAGCCUAAUUGCAAAGGGACUAAAACGGCAUGUCCCGAUAGAAACCGCUCUUUCCUUGCGGGUAGGCAAGGCCUAGGGAGAAAGGGAGCGCCAGUUUACUCCCAAAACACACGCAGCGCUGCGAGAUUUUCACUUGCUGUCCUUUCUUGGGAGGCUAAGCGUUGAGAAUCUCAAUUCAACAUCUUAGAUGUUACGUGGGGCCUUGAACUAGGCCAUGGACAGUUUUAUAAAAGUGCUUUUUCUUCCAUAAAAAGGCUCGGGAAACUUGCUGUACCCACCAGCAGUAAAAGGAUUUUUCAUGAUUUUGCUAGUUGGCUACAUUUAUUAUUUUUAUUUCUAUUCAUAAAAAAGAAAUUUCUGUUUAUUUUUUUAAACUAAAAGACUUUUUGCUAAAAAAAAUCUUUUAAAAAUUCUUUCAAGAAAAAAUUUUGCUGAGCUUGUCACUGUGAAGAAAGAAAUCACUUUAUAAGAUCUUCUCUUAGCAUAGCCAUUGCAACCAUUUAUAGUAUAUUACCUCGUAAACUCUCAAAUAUUCUCAUAUUACGAAAACUAUACUGAAAAAUUGUAUUAUAUAUACGGUACUAUAUACUUUUAGUAACUUAGUUCAGAAACUAAAUUAAGUAAAUAAGUUGUUGUGGUCUGUUUAUAUGUGUGUUCUAUUGCAAAUGGAGACCAUUUGUGGGCAGACUAGUUAAAGUGUUCUUCUAUUCUAUAGCACGUUUUCAGUAUUUCCGGUAAACUGUGCUAUCAAAUGAACAUUGGAACUUAAAAAAUAGCUGCGUAGGAGUUUCGUGGACUGCAGGGAAAUAAAAAUAACUCAUUUUGUGAGUAAUUCAAUUGGACUGCGAUACGCGAUCGCCUGGGAAAUGGCGCGCGCCUACCAUCCGCAGUGUUGUGGUGUUUAUGAUGGAAAAGGCCUUUAACAUGGAUCCCACUUCGUUUAUCUUUUAAUCUUGCCAGUUGGCUUAGAAUAACGGCCUUGGAAUACCGUCGUAUGUGUCCUCUUAUGCAUGUACCAGUGUAAUUUAUCAUAGAUAUUAAGAGAAACAUCGUCAUUGCGUAUUCAAAGCCAUCCUCCAUUAUCGCUGAAUGUACACUUUUAGGUUUCGGAAAUGAAGGUACGAAAAGCGGAUUGAGAUUGCCUUGUUGAUCACACCUCUAGAAUAAAGUUGAACUUGUUGUUAUUUUAUCAAGUAAGAAUAAAUAAGCUAGAGAUGUUACUAUGCAAUUGGCGACGCACACGAUAAUAUUUACGAGUGGUUUGAUGUAAGGUCAAAAGCUUUUCGUCCCUUCGCAUCUCUCUUAGGACAAUCUCAAGUUAAACGGCCACACAAGCCAUGUCAACAAAACAACUUCUCUGUAAUGUGUAACUGGAAUAAAUGUUCUAUCAGAGCUAAA